rnacentral:lncRNA from 1 species
UCUGUCUAGAGUGUUUUAAUCACAUGCAAGGCUGAAAGUCAAGGGAGGUAAGCAGCCCCUGCAGCCAGGAAUUUUUUACCUGCCUGGGGAGGCUGGAGAGGGAGAUUAGUGGGCUGCUGAACAUUUCAGGCAAAGCAGCUAGCAGAGCCCAGAGACACAAGAGGGAAGUUUCUGCAAGUUACAUGUCAGCUUUGGAGGAAAUGCAGUCUCCUUUUCACUGCAAAGAAGCUCCUUCCUCAAGGGGAAAGAGACAAUUAGGUUUCAGACUUGGUUAUGGACUGAAUGUUUGUGUCUCCCUAAAUUCAUAUGUCGAAGUCCUAACACUAAUUGAUCGUGUUAGGAGAUGGGACCUUUGGAUGUGACUAGAUGUAGAUGAGAUCAUGAGGGUUGAGGCCCCAUGAUGAGAUUAAUGCCCUUAUAAGAAGAGAAAGAGAGACCAGAGUUCUCUUUCUAUCAUAUGAGGAUACAGUGAGAAGGUGGCCAUCUGCAAGCCAGGAAGAGAGCCCUCACCAGUAAUUGAAUCUACUGGAACCUUGGUCUCAGACUUCCCAGCCUCUGG